rnacentral:rRNA from 1 species
UGGCUCAGGAUGAACGCUGGCGGCGUGCUUAACACAUGCAAGUCGAACGAUGAUCCCAGCUUGCUGGGGGAUUAGUGGCGGACUGGAAACGGGUGAGUAACACGUGAGUAACCUGCCCUUGACUCUGGGAUAAGCCUGGGAAACUGGGUCUAAUACCGGAUACGACCGCCGUAAAUCUGGCGCAUGUCAUGGUGGUGGAAAGCUUUUGUGGUUUUGGAUGGACUCGCGGCCUAUCAGCUUGUACCGUUGGUGGGGUAAUGGCCUACCAAGGCGACGACGGGUAGCCGGCCUGAGAGGGUGACCGGCCACACUGGGACUGAGACACGGCCCAGACUCCUACGGGAGGCAGGCCAGUGGGGAAUAUUGCACAAUGGGCGCAAGCCUGAUGCAGCGACGCCGCGUGAGGGAUGACGGCCUUCGGUAGUUGUAAACCUCUUUCAGUAGGGAAGAAGCCGUAAGGUGACGGUACCUGCAGAAGAAGCGCCGGCUAACUACGUGCCAGCNNAGCCGCGGUAAUACGUAGGGCGCAAGCGUUAUCCGGAAUUAUUGGGCGUAAAGAGCUCGUAGGCGGUUUGUCGCGUCUGCGCUUGUGUGAAAGACCGGGGCUCAACUCCGGUUCUGCAGUGGGUACGGGCAGACUAGAGUGCAGUAGGGGAGACUGGAAUUCCUGGUGUAGCGGUGAAAUGCGCAGAUAUCAGGAGGAACACCGAUGGCGAAGGCCCAUGCCGUAGGUCUCUGGGCUGUAACUGACGCUGAGGAGCGAAAGCAUGGGGAGCGAACAGGAUUAGAUACCCUGGUAGUCCAUGCCGUAAACGUUGGGCACUAGGUGUGGGGGACAUUCCACGUUUUCCGCGCCGUAGCUAACGCAUUAAGUGCCCCGCCUGGGGAGUACGGCCGCAAGGCUAAAACUCAAAGGAAUUGACGGGGGCCCGCACAAGCGGCGGAGCAUGCGGAUUAAUUCGAUGCAACGCGAAGAACCUUACCAAGGCUUGACAUGAACCGGUAAUACCUGGAAACAGGUGCCCCGCUUGCGGUCGGUUUACAGGUGGUGCAUGGUUGUCGUCAGCUCGUGUCGUGAGAUGUUGGGUUAAGUCCCGCAACGAGCGCAUGUUGCCAGCGGUUCGGCCGGGGACUCAUAGGAGACUGUGGCGUCAAGCUGCCAAUCUCUGGAAGGGCAACUCAAUCAAAGGCUG